GGCAACGAAAUUAUCAGAGAAGAAGGAAAUUUUCAAAAUUAAUUUUCUUACUUUGAGGAGUAGGUGCUGUCUGGUGCCAUUACCUCAGCUGCUCCGGUGGUUGUCGAAGUUUUUGUUGAGAUUAUUACUUGAACUCGAAUAUAGUUUACUAUCAACUAUUACUUUAUUUAUCUAUUUCGAUACAGACUGAACAAUUUACUAACUGGAUUAAUACCGCAAUUACAAUGUGCGUUUCUGUCUAAGCGAUGAAACGAGGAUUUCAAAGAUAAAAUCUUUCCUUUAGUUAGUCGCGACUCUCUUUUCCUGACCGAAAACUAAAGACCCCGAAACGCAAAAUACUAUAAAAAUUUAUAAAGAAGAGCGCAAUAACGAACGUAGUAACAAUGAACACAAAGAAAUAAUGAACAAAAAAUAAUGAACGGCAAUAACAAUGAUCACUAUAAUAACGAGCAAAUAAUAAUGAACGAAGAAUAAUGAACGUAAUAAGAAUGUUCACCAGAAUAAUAAUGAGCGCUGCUCUAUGUUGCUUCGCUUAUUUAUAAUGCCAUCCCCCACGGGGUGGUGGUCCGCUGGGGGUACGCUUCCGUGGGAAUCGGGAUGUUGCAGUUUGGGUUUCUUGGAAUCGUACGUGACAAAA